rnacentral:miRNA from 1 species
UCAAAUAUAUUUAAAUCGUAUAGCCGAGCGGCUAUACAAUUAAAAUAUUCGAAUAUAUUUAAAGCGUAUAGCCGCGUGGCUAUACUAUUAAAAUAUUCAAAU